AUCAUAGAUAAGCAUCAUUUGUAACAGAUCAAGGCCAUCUGCGUCUAAUGUUUUAACUUGUGAUUCCAAAUUGUUUGUUAUCCAAUUUGGAAAUGUAGCUUUAUAAUCUGAUAAUUGUGUUACGCCAGGCCAUAUCUCUUCGCAAAUAUACAACCUAUACUCCAGAUAUCAAUGGCACACGAAUAUCUAUUAGUACCAAGAAGGAUUUCUGGAGCUCUGUACCAUAAAGUGACUACUUCAUGUGUAUAUACUCUAACUGGUAUGCCAAAGGCUCUUCCAAGACCGAAGUCUGCUACCUUAAUCAAUCCCGAUUUAUCAAUCAGUAAAUUUUGUGGCUUUAAAUCACGAUGCAAUAUUCUGCGCUUGUGACAGAAAAGAAUAGCACGUGUAAUCUAUAAAAACAAAUUAGAAACUUAUUUCAAUUUCCACAAAAGUAUUAUAUAACAUUUAUUAAUCCAUAUAAGUCCAUGAUCUAUCUAUUACUUGAUUAUAUUAACAAAGUUAUUUGACUUAAUAUGAUUAAUAUCAAAUAUGAUUUGACUUAAAUCGUGAUAUAACCUGUGUAAUGGAGAUUUUACUUUAUACAUUAGGAAUAUAUUGAAUACCUGAAAUAAAUAGGAUUUAACCAUU